GGUCAUAUAAGCCUAAAUGGUAAGGCAGCGGUUUGCUAAACCGUGAGUAACCGGAUUAUUCCGGUGUCUGAGUUCAAGUCUCAGUGUGACCG
rnacentral:tRNA from 1 species